rnacentral:rRNA from 1 species
AAAACAUUGCCUUAUGUAUAAAAUAUAAGGUAGUUCCUGCCCAGUGACUGAAGUUCAACGGCCGCGGUAUCCUAACCGUGCAAAGGUAGCAUAAUCACUUGCCUAUUAAUUGUAGGCUGGAAUGAACGGAUUAACGAAAUAAAAACUGUCUCUACUGAUAAAAUAAAAAUUAUUCACUAUAUGAAGAAAUAUAGAUAAAAUCGAAGGACAAGAAGACCCUAUAGAGCUUUAUUUAAAAUACGGAUAUACCGUAGAAAAAUUCGGUUGGGGCGACCAGGGCAUCAUUAAACUCCCCAAUAUACACAGAUUUAUUAAUCAUUAUAAUGACCCUCAUAAGAUCACAAAAUCAAGCUACCUUAGGGAUAACAGGCUAAUCCUAUUCAUGAGUCCUUAUCAACAAUAGGGAUUGGCACCUCGAUGUUGGCUUAGGGAAUCAGUACAGCGCAAAAGCAGUACUAAGAUAGUUUGUUCAACUAAUAAGUCCCUACGUGAUCUG